AGUGAACGCCGGCGGUAGGCCUAACACAUGCAAGUCGAACGGCAGCACAGGAGAGCUUGCUCUCUGGGUGGCGAGUGGCGGACGGGUGAGGAAUACAUCGGAAUCUACUCUGUCGUGGGGGAUAACGUAGGGAAACUUACGCUAAUACCGCAUACGACCUACGGGUGAAAGCAGGGGACCUUCGGGCCUUGCGCGAUUGAAUGAGCCGAUGUCGGAUUAGCUAGUUGGCGGGGUAAAGGCCCACCAAGGCGACGAUCCGUAGCUGCUCUGGGAGGAUGAUCGGCCCCACUGGAACUGAGACACGGUCCAGGAUCCUACGGGAGGCAGCAGUGGGGAAUAUUGGACAAUGGGCGCAAGCCUGAUCCAGCCAUACCGCGUGGGUGAAGAAGGCCUUCGGGUUGUAAAGCCCUUUUGUUGGGAAAGAAGUCCAGCUGGCUAAUACCCGGUUGGGAUGACGGUACCCAAAGAAUAAGCACCGGCUAACUUCGUGCCAGCAGCCGCCGUAA
rnacentral:rRNA from 1 species